AAGUCGUAACAAGGUAACCGUAGGUGAACCUGCGGAAGGAUCAUUAACACGUAUCCAAACGUUAAACCCCCGUGAACAUUAAGUUAUGCUCCCGCCGUCCGUUUUUUGAAGCUAGCAAUCUCUGGUAAAUCAUCGCCGAACAGUUUUGAUUCAGAGACUUCUACGAAGAUGUGGCGCCCAGCGUAUCAAUAGGAGCCCGGCAUUUCGCUGCUUGCUGAUGUCUGAAAGUGUCAUUGGCUCGUAUGUAGAAUGACGCAAGAACAGGUGAUCGCUAGAGGCCGACACGGCCGGCGACCGGUGCUUCUGGGCGACGGCCCCCCUGAGAACCUUUGCAUGCGCAACCUGGGCCUUCAAGUGUCGGCGCCAGGAAAACGUACAACUGUUAACAAUGGAUAUCUUGGUUCUC
rnacentral:misc_RNA from 1 species